GAUCCUUGGCGGUGAGCCACACAGCCUGCAUUGCGUUUCUGAGAGCAGGGUGGCAGAGAUCGAUGACCAACCACUUCAGCAAAAGCAGCCUCUGCUGGGAUUCACUGUGUUUUCAUACUGCUCUGAAAAACACAGUGAAGACACUUAUCACAGCAAGACCACAUCAGCGGUAUACUCUUGCCUGAGGUCUACCUUGACAGAAUGGAUGAAGGCGCAGAUCCCAGUCAGGAUGAUCGACAUGCCAAAGUAGCAUCAUUGGGACACAAGAAAGCCAGAAGAGAGAUGGAUUAUGAAGAAACAAACAACAGCAGAACACAAGAGAAGGGAAGAGAUGAGAGCAUCAACCUCUGUUAGGCAACAAACUCAAAUCACAGUCCCUGAGGGAGUUCAUGAGGCAGUGGAGGAGGUGAAAAUAACCUCUAUAUUUGAAUACUACGAAAGUCAAGACAUCACAAAGAAGGAACAUCAGCCUAAACACUGAACAUCCUGGCUUUCAUGGUUUAUAAAAAGAAGAAAAUAGGAUCAAAACAUUAUUUAUUUAUUUAUUUUCCCUCGGAGAUACAGCAGCAGCUUUGAUUUCCUUAAUUACACCCAGAAUGCUCAAAAGGUCAUAGUCCAAUUUUGGUUACUAUUCAGGAAGCUGAGGGAAUAACUUGGAGCUUUUUUUCACCUUCUUUUACAAUCCAGCAAGGCUUCCUUCUUUCUUUUACCAGAACAGCUACAUCCUCCUGAGGUUUGGCCAGCGUGCAACUAGUCAGUCAACAGGAAAUUAUUUACAGUUUAAUUUUUCAUCAUUUGUGAUAACAAAAAAUGCCUGAAGGUUUGUAAUCCAAUGACAAUCUCCCCCCCUCCCUUGCUGAGAUAAAAUGGAGUGUUUAACUCUGUUUCUGCAUGCGUUUUAUUUACAAAUAAACAGAGGCAGGUUAAACUUCA
rnacentral:lncRNA from 1 species